GUACUCGCUUCAGCAGCACAUAUAUUAAAAUUCCAACAAUACAGAGAAGAUUCGCAUUGUACUUGCACACAGAUGAUACAAAUUCUUAAGUCUUCCAUAUUUUU
ensembl:snRNA U6 U6 spliceosomal RNA